rnacentral:rRNA from 1 species
GACAUCCCGGGAAUCUUGUGGAAACACGAGAGUGCCUCGCAAGAGGAGCCUGGAGACAGGUGCUGCAUGGCUGUCGUCAGCUCGUGUCGUGAGAUUGUUGGGUUUAAGUCCCGCAACGAGCGCAACCCUAUCUUUAGUUGCCAUCAUCGAGUUGGGCACUCUAAAGAGACUGCCGGUGUCAAACCGGAGGAAGGUGGGAUGACGUCAAGUCCUCAUGGCCCUUAUGACCAGGGCUACACACGUGCUACAAUGGCCGGUACAAAGAGUUGCGAUGCCGUGAGGUGGAGCCAAUCUCAUAAAGCCGGUCUCAGUUCGGAUUGGAGUCUGCAACUCGACUCCAUGAAGUUGGAAUCGCUAGUAAUCGCGGAUCAGCAUGCCGCGGUGAAUACGUUCCCGGGCCUU